rnacentral:lncRNA from 1 species
CUUUCGGACAUAGAUCGACAAGCAUAUGAUCUAACUUAUAACAUCGGACUAUGCUGUCCCAGCUACAGCAAUGUAUUUUUAAUCGAACAAUUGCCUUAUCAAAGGACUUUUACUCUCCAUCAUUUAGCAGAGAAAUGAAUUUCCCGGGACAUCAUUGUCCAAGCCUUGAUAUAGGCUGAUCUUAGCAGAAUUUUGAACUUUAUAUCAAGCUGUCCCAGUACAGCAAGACAAUAGAACUAUAGAGACUGGUUUCUCCAAUCUUUUACUUUCCGACAUAGAUCGACAAGCAUAUGAUCUAGCUUAUAACAUCGGACUAUGCUGUCCCAGCUACAGCAAUGUAUUUUUAAUCGGACAAUUGCCUUAUCAAAGGACUUUUACUCUCCAUCAAUUAGCAGAGAAUUGAAUUUCUCAGGACAUCAUUGUCCAAGCCUUGAUAAAGGCUGAUCUUAGCAGAUAUUUGAAAUUUAUAUCAAGCUGUCCCAGUACAGCAAGACAAUAGGACUAUAGAGAUAGUUUUCUCCAAUCCUUUACUUACGGACAUAGAUCGACAAGCAUAUGAUCUAGCUUCUGUUAGUCAACAUCGGACUAUAAUUAGACAAGACUUACGGAUUUCAAUCAAAAUCUUGCUUGCCUUACAAAAUUUGACAAGUCUUACGGAUUUCAAUCAAAAUCUUGCUUGUCUUAAGUAAUUAGACAAGUCUUACGGAUUUCAAUCAAAAUCUUGCUUGUCUUAAAUAAUUAGACAAGUCUUACAGAUUUCAAUCAAAAUCUGCUUGCCUUACAAAACUUAACAAGUCCUACAGAUUUCAAUCAAAAUCUUGCUUGUCUUACAUAAUAAGACAAGUCUUGCAGAUUUCAAUCUCAUCUUGCUUGCCUUAGAUAGGUAACAUCGGGACAAUUUCCCCAAGUUAGAAACCGGACAGACACAAUCAUCUAAUGUGUUGUCCCUUUCUUUUGGGUUUGAAGAAAACAG